UUGGAACACCAGUUCCCAUAUGAUCACCGAAAUUAAGCAACAUUGUGUCUGGUUAGUACCUAGAUGAGUAACAACUUGGGAAUACUUGGUACUGUAAG